UGCAGUCGAACGGUAACAGGCCGCAAGGUGCUGACGAGUGGUGAACGGGUGAGUAAUGCAUCGGAACGUGCCCAGUCGUGGGGGAUAACGCAGCGAAAGCUGUGCUAAUACCGCAUACGAUCUAUGGAUGAAAGCGGGGGACCGUAAGGCCUCGCGCGAUUGGAGCGGCUGAUGUCAGAUUAGGUAGUUGGUGGGGUAAAGGCCCACCAAGCCAACGAUCUGUAGCUGGUCUGAGAGGACGACCAGCCACACUGGAACUGAGACACGGUCCAGACUCCUACGGGAGGCAGCAGUGGGGAAUUUUGGACAAUGGGCGCAAGCCUGAUCCAGCAAUGCCGCGUGCAGGAAGAAGGCCUUCGGGUUGUAAACUGCUUUUGUACGGAACGAAACGGUCUGGGUUAAUACCCUGGGCUAAUGACGGUACCGUAAGAAUAAGCACCGGCUAACUACGUGCCAGCAGCCGCGGUAAUACGUAGGGUGCAAGCGUUAAUCGGAAUUACUGGGCGUAAAGCGUGCGCAGGCGGUUUUGUAAGACAGUCGUGAAAUCCCCGGGCUCAACCUGGGAAUUGCGAUUGUGACUGCAAAGCUGGAGUGCGGCAGAA
rnacentral:rRNA from 1 species